CUCCCCUCCCUGCUCAUGGGCUCUCUCUCUCUCAAAAAUAAAUAAAAAAAUAUUAAAAAGUGUUUUUGGUUUAAGAGUCUCUCUGCAUUGGGAUCAGUUAGCAAAGUCUUUACAAUUGUUUCAUCUCUUCAGAAAUCAUUUAGAAGGUGUUUUCUUAAGCUUAAGUGUUUGUUUUUUAGGAGGAAACUUCAAAUAUUAUAAACUAGAAGAAAGUGAAAGUGCUGCAUUACUGUAAGUUUAGCUGACAAUAUGAUUUAAUUUAGCAAACAAAACCACUUGUAUACAGAGUUAGUAUACUCAGAGCUUCAAGAUGACCCAUCUCCUCUGCUUCUGACGCAUAAUCCAUCCUGGUCAGUUGGAACAUUUCUUUCUCUUCAGAGGCAGUUGCGUGUUGGCAUUUCUACUAAUGGCCCUAUGCCAUCCAAUGGGAGACAGCAUAGCCUAGAGACUGAGAAUGGGAACUCCUGAGUCAGAACACUUGGAUCUGAAUGCUGGCUCUACCAACCAGGGGAAAGGUUAGAUAUGUGGCCUCUGGAUUCCUGAUGAUGGACAAAUAUUCACACAUGCUGUCUACUGCUGGCAAAAUAACCCAGUGAAACUGAACAUCCAAGGUAUGCCAUCAUUUUGAUUGCCUCAUGAAGUGACCCAAGCUUGGAAGGAAGAGGCUUCUUCUGUUAGGCAUUCCAGUGUCUCUUGAGGAGCUAAUUACAGGGAAGCCUGAGAAUCGCCAUCUUUGCCCUUCAGAGUAUGCAGAGGAUGUUCAGCUUUGGAAACCAGCCACCUUUCUGUGAGAAAACCUGAACUAUCUCACACAGAGAGACCACAUGGAGAGGCCAUGUGGAAAGGAACUGAACCUCAAGCUGAGUGCCAGCAUCAACUGCCAGACACAAUAGAUCCAGUUUCCCACCUUUAACUCUGCUGUGAUGUUUUCCCUGAGUUCAACUGAUACAAAGGUUGGCACAACCUCAGUUGUGGAGUCUCUUCUCCACCCACAUUGGGCUUAUAAUCACUUGUCCAAUCUGGUGAAACAUGAAGAAUGCCCUCAGAUGAACCAGGCACCCAACAAAAUUCUCUUUUCUCCAUAAUAUAUGAGAUAGUGAAAUUGCUGGUGACAUUUUGCAAUAUGGUAUGACAACUGGUGAGUUUGGAAAAUGAUGAUGUAAUGGAAUUAGAUAAAACUGCUGAAAUUCUUAUUUUCCC